rnacentral:rRNA from 1 species
GACGAACCGUGCGAACGUUAUUCGGAAUCACCGGGCUUAAAGGGCGCGUAGGCGGGCUGCCAAGUCAGAGGUGAAAUCCUGCGGCUCAACCGCAGAAGUGCCCCUGAUACUGGUAGUCUCGAGCGAGGUAGGGGCAUGUGGAACUUCCGGUGGAGCGGUGAAAUGCGUAGAUAUCGGAAGGAACGCCGGUGGCGAAAGGCGGCGCGCUGGAUCUCGUACUGACG